CAUACAGAAUGUACAGAGGCAAUUCUGGAAAAAGGAAAGCUAUGCUAAAAACUCACAAUUUUUUUUCUCCAUGCUGAUUUCAUUUCUGUUGAUUAAAUUAUUUCAAAGUUGACUUACUGCUUUUGAGCAGCAAGAGUAAGAUAAAUAUUAUCUAUUUCAUACUUACAGACUGUAGCUGUUAUUGUGCUUUAUUCCUAGACAUGAAUAUUAGCUGCCUGGUUUUGCUAUCAAUCUUGCUAUCAAUUUUUCUUGUUCAUUGAACAAAGAUUCUUUCAGGCUUACUGCAGAUGCAACUGGUUACAAUUUUAGAUCCUUAUCUUUCAUCCAAAAGAGCUUUAUCACACAGUCCCAUCUAUAUUUAAAAAUCUGAAAUAUAUCAGCCACCUUCCUAACACCAUAUGAACACUCCUUUCCAGAUUGUGAUGCUUUUGAGAACAGAAUAGAAGAACUUUUCAUUUCUUCAGAACUGGCUCCAGUGCAGAAGCUAAUAAGAUUUUUAUUUCUCUUCUUGAGUCUUUUGCUUCAAGGGUCACAAAACAAUCAGAUAGCAAAGUAUAAUUACCAGAUGAGGAAAAAUAAACAACAAAUAAUUUCAUUAUGACUGGAUUCAUACCAUUGACUUCAGAGAGAUUACUCAUGAGCACAAGUAAAUGUAAAUAAGAUUACAAAGCCAGAUUGGAAACACGCAGUCUCCUGAUUGGACUGUAAUCUUAGCAUAGUAAAAUUCUAAGACAAAAUGACAAAUUUAUCUUGUAGUCCAACACAAAAUUUAUCCCAUUUCAGGUCAGCAGCUUUGUGCAGUGCAAGGCCACUUGCUCUUUCCUUUCCUGAGGAGAAAACCUACUUCAAGUCACAUUUUCAUUACUGCAGCUGGGGAGAAAGGACAGAGCAAAGGGAGAUUUCUGAGCCUCCUGAAGGCCUUCCAGUAUGUAAUUUUAUUAUCAGGAUUAAUCAAGGAGAAUGAUUCAUGCUUAGUGGAAAGCAAGACAUCCUGAGGUCUAAGUGGAACAGAAAACCAGAGAGGAUAAUGAGAUUCAUCCCUUCAAACUGGCACAAACAACGUUCAUGUGGCACAUCACCUGGAACCUCGCUGGCUUUGACAGCACCUCAGGAGUCCUCCAGUGCUGCCCCAGAGCUGCCCUUUCCCUGCUCCCCUUGCACAGUGCUCAGUGACCACCUCCUGCAGCUCCCUGCUGGCCUUGGCAUCUCACAGGUACGAGCUCACUCCCCACACAUGGGGCUGUUAUUAUUGUAAGCUGCAUAACUUAAAAUAAAGUAGAGCUUGCUCUUCUCAUCAUCACAUCAGAGAAGGAUGUGAGUAGACCUGGGUGUCAGGGCAGGGAGCUGAGCUGAGGAUCCUCCUUUACAUUUUUCCCAGCUUUUUUUCCUGUUCCUUCACCUGUAAAAUGGGAGUGAGCAGUGGAGCUGUGAAGGAAAGCAAACAUGAAAAUCAGAUGAGCCAUUGCCAGAAUAGCUCCUGAGUACCAAAAAUUCUCAAUGUGCAUGAGGCCCCCAAUAAACAAGCCCUGAUGCUCAUUCAUUUUUUAUUUGCUUUCUGUAGUAGUACCUUGGAGAAGACAUGUUUCAAGUCUUUGUACUUACAAAGCUGUGACUGCUGGGUGAUAUUUUAUCUCUUCUUGGUGACAAGCAUUUAUGGUCUUGACAAACAAAGGCUCAAAAUAGGCUCUGUGUCCUCUUUACAAAGAAAGCAUCUGAGGAGAAAAAACCCCCAACAAAGUAAAUAGAGGCAAGAGCUUUUUGAGCAUGGGAAUGCUCAUCUCUGUUAUGGUGAGCAUGCUGAGCUACAAGAAACUGGCAUAAAAAUCUCAAAAAGUAGGUUAAGACUCACAAGCAGCAGAACAAAUGCUUUCUGUUGCUGCAUCUAAGAAAACUGCUCCUAGCAAGGCUGUUUGUGCCUUGGUCAUCAGAAUGAUUUAAACAUGAAUGCUGAUACUGUCAAUCCAAAUGUACUCUGAAUUUAUUUUUCUAAAUAACAACACAACCCUCCCCCCACCAGUGGUGCUCAGAGAUCACAUGUAGGCUUCAGAUUAAGGAAAAUGAGGUUGUUUAAUAUUCUGCUGAUUCGAGAAAAACAGCACUGACAUGACUCACCUCUUUUUUCUCCCCAGAGAAUCAGUCCUUUCCAACACAAGUUUGGAUUUCUCUUUAUGUAACCAGCUCAUACAGCAGGCAUUCAGCUGUCUGUCAGAGAGAAAACAAACUAAUCAAAUCAUCCAUACCAUUUAUAUCGUUGCAUUAAAAAAAAUAAAUAUCAAGGAAUGUAAUAUCAAAUGGACAUGCAUUGACUUGGCUACGCAUCAAAAUAAAUAAAAUUUAAAAAGAAAUUGUUUUCUCAUCUGUGUUCCUUGUGUGGAUAUUUCAUUUUAAGAAGUAUUUUCCUGUAACUGAAUGGAUGACAAUUGCAGAUAUAUUUGCUAUUAAGCUAGAAAAUUUUCUACAUAAAUAUAAAAGGCUAGAAAUCCUCUGAGAGAGAACUAAAUAGAUCAGAUCACUGCACUUUCUGGGAAAAUGCUGAAAACUUGUUUACCACAAGACUGCUAUAGUGAGAAAAUAAACCAAACAAAAGGAGAGUCAUGUUUCUACUAAUAGCCAUUCUGAUCCUGCAAACAGUUUUGUUUGUGACACUUACAGAAUCAUAUGAAGUAGUAAAUGGAAACUUGUGGACAAUUUUUCAGGUGCUUUGUACCCACAGGUAGAACUAGGCUUAGUUUCAUUCCAAUUCCAUUCCAAUUUCAGAGGGAUUUACAAAUCAAUAUACUUGGAAUAUAUUAGUUAGUGCCUGCCACCAUCAACUUCUAUUUACCUCUGUGAAAAGGGUCCAGUUCUUUUGGUGUUGGUCUUUCAACACGAAGACAAGACUUUGCCUCACAUUUAUUUUUCCCUCUCUAGAGCCCUGCCCCAGGAGGAAUGCAGAGCCUGCUUUGAGGUAGAGAAGCACAAAGUGCCAUCAUCACCUCUGAAAUUUGAGAGUAAAGAAGUAAAAGACAUGCAGACAAUCCUACUUUUAACAUAAGAGGCAUUAUUUAGCAACAUAAGUUUGAAUAAUUCAACACAAGUUGUUUUUUUUUUUUCUUUUGGUAGCUGCUCUCCCAAACAUGAUGAUGGUUCAUUUUGGAAAGAACAAGGUCCAGGGGCAGCUCCAUCAGCUGGCACAAACCACACCAGGGAUUUAUCUCCAGACUGAGCCUCUUGAUGCUUGGUUUGCCAGGGAUGAGAGAAAAUGUAAUAAAGUGAAAACAACAAGGCCCUGUUUGACUGUUCUGUACCAGAUGAUAUUUUAAAUCCAAAGGAAUUCUAUAAAAUGUCCUCCACAGAGGCAACCAGUAUGGGAGCUGGUUAAAAAUACAUCCCUUUGAUUCUCUGUGCUUCUAUAGCUACUAAAGAUGUCUUGGAGAUAUUUUCUUGGGUUGAAAAUAUUUUAAUAUAUUCCGUUUUAUACAAAUGCUUAAAUCUGAUAUGAAACUUCCCAACCUUACAUUUUAAACAUGAAAUCAGUAUCAUUCUUUAUCUCAGAAGGCAGCUAUUGAUUAGUGCAAACAGACUUUCACAGAAUUCACUAGAAACCAUCAGCAUUUUCUAGCAUGACCUAAAAGCUAUAUAGAGAAAAACCAUUUAAAACUUGCUACUUCCUCUCCUUUUAGGACUAAAAAUAGAUCUGGCUCAUUAUCUCAUACCUUAAUGUAUUCCAUGGCACGAUGACACAGCUUAGAUUAAACCUCCACAUGCUUCUUUUUCCUUAGGAUCUACCUUACACACAGCAAGAAGGGACAGUGCCCAUUGAACCAGAGACUCCUUGAUAUCUUACUUUAAACCCUUUUUUGGGUUCUGCUCUCAGGACAAUAUUCCCACUUGCUGUUGGAUGCUGCAGCUCACCGCAGAUGUCACCCCAACAGCCACACUCAGGCCUCCCUCAAAUAGAAUCUUGGAUGAAUUUUCUCAUCAAGCUCCACCCUUAAAUCUAUGCCCAAAAACUUUUUUCUUCCCCCCAAAGAUCAGUGAGUUAACCAACUCUCAGGGACACACAGCCCAAGUGGCUCCCAAAUCAGAUGUAUGCACAUUUAACUUUGAAAUUCCUGCUUAAAGAAAAGCCACAAGCACACAUCUUAGUGUGAUAGACGUGAUAAAUUUGAGUCGAAUCCCCCCAAAACACACCCAAGACAUAACCCCACAUAACUGCUUUGUUUGCCCCUGCUUUCAGAAAUGGUCAAACCCCAUUUUCUUUAUUUAAGAGCAGCAAAAUGUUUUCCACAUAUUUAUGUGAAAAAAGAGCCAGGCUCUUCUCAGUGGUGCCAAGUACUAGAACAAGAGGCAGCAGUGAAAAACUGAUGCUUAGAAAGUUCCACCUGAACGUGAGGAAGAACUUUGUUGCACAGGUGAGGCUGUGGAGUUUCCCUCCACUGGAAAUACUCCAGACCUGUCUGGACACAAUCUUGUGCCCUCUGCUCUGGGAUGACCCUGCCUAAGCAGAGAGGUUGGGACAGGUGACCCCACUGUAGUUCCUUCCAACCUGAACCUGUGCUUCUGUGUAUGAAAGAUUGCAUUGAUGGGAAAUUUUCUGAUACAAAGGUUCAUCCAUAAAAUUUUACUUACUUGCACGUGUCUCAAAACAGGAACUUCCCCCCCCCCCCCCCCCCCCCCCCCCCCCCCCCCCCCCCCCCCCCCCCCCCCCCCCCCCCCCCCCCCCCCCCCCCCCCCCCCCCCCCCCCCCCCCCCCCCCCCCCCCCCCC
ensembl:lncRNA